rnacentral:rRNA from 1 species
AUAUUGGUCAAUGGGCGCAAGCCUGAACCAGCCAUGCCGCGUGCAGGAAGAAGGUCCUAUGGAUUGUAAACUGCUUUUAUUUGGGAAUAAACCUCUUUACGUGUAGAGAGCUGAAGGUACCAAAUGAAUAAGCACCGGCUAACUCCGUGCCAGCAGCCGCGGUAAUACGGAGGGUGCAAGCGUUAUCCGGAAUCAUUGGGUUUAAAGGGUCCGCAGGCGGACUUAUAAGUCAGUGGUGAAAGCCUACAGCUCAACUGUAGAACUGCCAUUGAUACUGUAAGUCUUGAAUAUGUUCGGAGUGGGCGGAAUGUGACAUGUAGCGGUGAAAUGCUUAGAUAUGUCACAGAACACCGAUAGCGAAGGCAGCUCACUAGACCAUUAUUGACGCUCAUGGACGAAAGCGUGGGGAGCAAACAGG